rnacentral:rRNA from 1 species
UACGAAGGGGGCUAGCGUUGCUCGGAAUUACUGGGCGUAAAGCGCACGUAGGCGGCUUUCUAAGUCGGGGGUGAAAUCCUGGAGCUCAACUCCAGAACUGCCUCGAUACUGGAGAGCUCGAGUCCGGGAGAGGUGAGUGGAACUGCGAGUGUAGAGGUGAAAUUCGUCGAUAUUCGGAAGAACACCAGUGGCGAAGGCGGCUCACUGGUCCGGUACUGACGCUGAGGUGCGAA